ACGGAGCUGCUCCGUCACAUGAAUUUACACAUGGUGAUGUUCAAAUGACAGGCAGCAGAUAAUGUUGUUGGCAGUGGUGUCAGUUGUUUAUGGACAUGCCACUAAUGCCGUGUCAUUAAUAUGGUGAUGACUUAUUAAUGUUAAUAUGUUCUCUAAUGUUCCACCUUUUUUUUUUUUCCAUGGUUAUUUUUUUCAAUGUGACUAUGAACGGGAAGCAGAAAGCUGGGUGCAGAGUGGAGAGAGCAACAGUUGCAGAGGAGGAAGAAUACAACUGCAGGCUUCUCGUGCUGUGGCAGAGCAUGGAGAAAAUCUUCCUUGCCAGGGUAAAAGCAAAAGAAAAAAGAUGGAGAGCAGAGAGAAGGGAACUUGGUGUCCUAUUGCGGAGGAGGCUUUUAAUGCUGAGGAUGAGGGAUAUGACCUGAACACACACACAACCAGACAAUGUUUAAUCAUCCCGGCUACACUGCCUGUAUAUAGUUCUGGAACAGGCUUUUAAAAGGAUUACUCCUCUAGAUACUAGACAAUGUGUGUGUGUGUAUAUAUAUAAUUUUUUAACAGAUUCACAAGCCAGUGUUCUUGGUGUCGAGCUAGCUGCAGUUCAGUGAUGGGAACGAGUAACAUAGGGGAAUGCUAAAGAAAAGCCGAGCAUUUCACAAGUCAGAAACACAGAUUUGAUUAUUGUGUAUAUGUUGACUGAUGCUUUGGAGUUACUGGGCAGUGGCCUUAAUAAUUAUCCAAAGACUUUCUCAGUUGAAAUGAUUGAGAGCCACACAUCUUGUGAGCUGAAGUGGUUCCUUGACAUUCUAUUCUUUCUUGUUUCUUUUUUUUCCACACAAGUACAGUUUCCCUUUUGUUUCUUCAAAUUUUCUGAUCUUGCU